rnacentral:misc_RNA from 1 species
GCGUGUUAUGUACUGGAACAAGCUCAUCUAAUUUGCAUAAAGUAGAUUUUCAUAUCUGAUCACUUCACUUUUAUCUGUAGUUUUUCUGACUUGUUGAGAAACUUUAUUUUCUUUUCUUUUUUUUCGCCUUUUAUUUCACUUUUAGAAGGGCAAUUUUAAAGAUAGAAAUUUAUAAAAAUGUGAUAUGUUAUUUGUUCAAAUUGCUUCUUCAAACUUGUGCAAAAUGGAUCAUCUCAUUUUUAUUUUUCAGAACAACAGUGUAAGGUAUCUGC